CCUACGGGAGGCAGCAGUGAGGAAUAUUGGUCAAUGGGCGAGAGCCUGAACCAGCCAAGUCGCGUGAGGGAGUACUGCCCUAUGGGUUGUAAACCUCUUUUGUCGGGGAGCAAAAGCCGGACGUGUCCGGAUGUGAGAGUACCCGACGAAAAAGCAUCGGCUAACUCCGUGCCAGCAGCGGCGGCAAUACGGAGGGUGCGAGCGUUAUCCGGAUUCAUUGGGUUUAAAGGGUGCGCAGGCGGAAUUUUAAGUCAGCGGUCAAAUCCUGGGGCUCAACCCCAUCCAGCCGUUGAAACUGGGGUGCUAGAGUGUGCGAGAGGUAUGCGGAAUGCGUAGUGUAGCGGUGAAAUGCGUAGAUAUCACGCAGAACCCCGGUUGCGAAGGCAGCAUACCGGUGCACAACUGACGCUCAGGCACGAAAGCGUGGGUAUCGAACAGGAUUAGAUACCCCGGUAGUC
rnacentral:rRNA from 1 species